rnacentral:rRNA from 1 species
UACGUAGGGUGCAAGCGUUGUCCGGAAUUAUUGGGCGUAAAGAGCUCGUAGGCGGUCUGUCGCGUCUGCUGUGAAAACUCAGGGCUUAACCCUGAGCUUGCGGUCGAUACGGGCAUGACUGGAGUUCGGCAGGGGAGACUGGAAUUCCUGGUGUAGCGGUGAAAUGCGCAGAUAUCAGGAAGAACACCCGUGGCGAAGGCGGUUCUCUGGAACGCAACUGACGCUGAGACGCGAAAGCGUGGGGAGCAAACAGG